CCUGUCUAGAGGGACGAAGCAAGUGACGGUACCUCUGGAGGAAGCCCCGGCUAACUCCGUGCCAGCAGCCGCGGUAAUACGGGGGGGGCGAGCGUUGUUCGGAAUUACUGGGCGUAAAGGGCGCGUAGGCGGUAUGGGAAGUCAUGGGUGAAGGUCCUGGGCUCAACCGAGGGAUUGCCUGUGAAACCACCAUACUGGAGUGCUGGAGAGGGAAGUGGAAUUCCCAGUGUAGCGGUGAAAUGCGUAGAUAUUGGGAGGAACACCUGUGGCGAAGGCGGCUUCCUGGACAGACACUGACGCUGAGGCGCGAAAGCCAGGGGAGCGAACGGGAUUAGAUACCCCGGUAGUCCUGGCUGUAAACGAUGAACACUUGGUGUGGGGGGUGAUGAAAGUCCCUCUGUGCCGGAGAGAACUCAUUAAGUGUUCCGCCUGGGGAGUACGGCCGCAAGGCUGAAACUCAAAGGAAUUGACGGGGGCCCGCACAAGCGGUGGAGCAUGUGGUUUAAUUCGACGCAACGCGAAGAACCUUACCGGGGUUUGAACUGCACCUGAACGACCUAGAGAUGGGGAGGUUCCUUUCGAGGACAGGUGCAGAGGUGCUGCAUGGCUGUCGUCAGCUCGUGUCGUGAGAUGUUGGGUUAAGUCCCGCAACGAGCGCAACCCUUGUCUGUAGUUGCCAUCAGGUCAAGCUGGGCACUCUACGGAGACUGUCGGCGAGAAGCCGGAGGAAGGUGGGGAUGACGUCAAGUCCUCAUGGCCUUUAUGUCCCGGGCUACACACGUGCUACAAUGGGCGGUACAGAGGGCAGCGACCCUGUGAAGGCAAGCGAAUCCCAGAAAACCGCUCUCAGUUCGGAUUGCAGUCUGCAACUCGACUGCAUGAAGUUGGAAUCGCUAGUAAUCGCGGAUCAGAANCGCCGCGGUGAAUACGUUCCCGGGC
rnacentral:rRNA from 1 species